rnacentral:tRNA from 1 species
GCAUCAUUGGUCUAGUGGUAGAAUUCGUCGUUGCCAUCGACGAGGCCCGUGUUCGAUUCACGGAUG